rnacentral:rRNA from 1 species
AUUGAACGCUGGCGGCAUGCUUUACACAUGCAAGUCGAACGGUAACAGGCCUUCGGGCGCUGACGAGUGGCGAACGGGUGAGUAAUGCAUCGGAACGUGCCCAGUCGUGGGGGAUAACGCAGCGAAAGCUGUGCUAAUACCGCAUACGAUCUGCGGAUGAAAGCGGGGGACCUUCGGGCCUCGCGCGAUGGGAGCGGCCGAUGUCAGAUUAGGUAGGUGGUGGGGGAAAGGCUCACCAAGCCAACGAUCUGUAGCUGGUCUGAGAGGACGACCAGCCACACUGGGAAUGAGAAACGGCCCCGAGUCCUACGGGAGGCAGCAGUGGGGAAUUUUGGACAAUGGGCGCCAGCCUGAUCCAGCAAUGCCGCGAGCAGGAAGUGGCCCUUCGGGUUGUAAACUGCUUUUGUACGGAGCGAAAAGGCUCCCUCUAAUACAGGGGGCUCAUGACGGUACCGUAAGAAUAAGCACCGGCUAACUACGUGCAAGCAGCCGCGGUAAGAC